rnacentral:lncRNA from 1 species
UCCAUGGACCUAGAGCAGUGGCUCACACCUAUAAUCCUGGCGCUUUGGAAGGCCUAGGUGGCCAGACUUCUUGAACCCAGGAGUUUGAGACCAGCCUGGGCAACAUAGGGAGACUCUGUCUCUACAAAAAAUACAAAAAUUAGCCAGGCAUGGUGGCACAUGCCUGUAGUCCCAGCUACUUAGGAGGCUGAGGUGGGAGGAUCACUUGAGCCCAGGAGAUAGUGGCUGCAGUGAGCCGUAAUUGUGCCAUUUCAUUCCUGCCUGGGUGACAGAGUGAGACCCUGUCUCAAAAAAAAGAAAAAAAAAUGGACAAUUCACCUCUUGUAAUAGGAAAGAGGGCAAAACAUAAAGUUACAGAUGCAAGUAAGUUGUCAUGUAUGGUUGGGGGAAUGUGGAUUGCUGACGGGAAGUGAUGAUGAGACAGAAUUAAACUGACUACAGUUACCCUCUUGGUCUUUUUCUGUUUUCUACUCUCUGAAGACAAUAAAUAUAAUAACUAUCAUGGGCAGAUAAGAACACCACAGCAGAAAAUGAUUUUUAGAGGAGGUGAGAGAUGUCAUUGGAGUGGGGGUGGGAGUACAUUCCAAGAGUGACUAGUAGAGGGAGCAACCACUUUGACGAAUAUCAUAUGACCUGAGCAUAAGAACGAAAAUCACAUUGCUGGACUGAGGGCCUGUAUUCUGAUGUGCAAUGACUGUCAUUAUGUAAGGAAAGUAGGAAGUGAUCAGAAGAAUUUAGAAAAUCUUAUUAAAAGUUGAAAUUAUAUUUAAUAAGCAAUAUUGCUGAUCCAUGGGGCCCCUGUAAGGUUCUGUGAAGGGGAAGCGAAAGAAGAUACUUAAGAAAGAUAAAGCUUCCUAUUAGUAUUGGCU